rnacentral:rRNA from 1 species
GGGUUGUGAGGUUAAGCGACUAAGCGUACACGGUGGAUGCCCUGGCAGUCAGAGGCGAUGAAGGACGUGCUAAUCUGCGAUAAGCGUCGGUGAGGUGAUAUGAACCGUUAUAACCGGCGAUUUCCGAAUGGGGAAACCCAGUGUGUUUCGACACACUAUCAUUAACUGAAUCCAUAGGUUAAUGAGGCGAACCGGGGGAACUGAAACAUCUAAGUACCCCGAGGAAAAGAAAUCAACCGAGAUUCCCCCAGUAGCGGCGAGCGAACGGGGAGCAGCCCAGAGCCUGAAUCAGUGUGUGUGUUAGUGGAAGCGUCUGGAAAGGCGCGCGAUACAGGGUGACAGCCCCGUACACAAAAAUGCACAUACUGUGAGCUCGAUGAGUAGGGCGGGACACGUGGUAUCCUGUCUGAAUAUGGGGGGACCAUCCUCCAAGGCUAAAUACUCCUGACUGACCGAUAGUGAACCAGUACCGUGAGGGAAAGGCGAAAAGAACCCCGGCGAGGGGAGUGAAAAAGAACCUGAAACCGUGUACGUACAAGCAGUGGGAGCCUCUUUUAUGGGGUGACUGCGUACCUUUUGUAUAAUGGGUCAGCGACUUAUAUUCUGUAGCAAGGUUAACCGAAUAGGGGAGCCGAAGGGAAACCGAGUCUUAACUGGGCGUUAAGUUGCAGGGUAUAGACCCGAAACCCGGUGAUCUAGCCAUGGGCAGGUUGAAGGUUGGGUAACACUAACUGGAGGACCGAACCGACUAAUGUUGAAAAAUUAGCGGAUGACUUGUGGCUGGGGGUGAAAGGCCAAUCAAACCGGGAGAUAGCUGGUUCUCCCCGAAAGCUAUUUAGGUAGCGCCUCGUGAAUUCAUCUCCGGGGGUAGAGCACUGUUUCGGCAAGGGGGUCAUCCCGACUUACCAACCCGAUGCAAACUGCGAAUACCGGAGAAUGUUAUCACGGGAGACACACGGCGGGUGCUAACGUCCGUCGUGAAGAGGGAAACAACCCAGACCGCCAGCUAAGGUCCCAAAGUCAUGGUUAAGUGGGAAACGAUGUGGGAAGGCCCAGACAGCCAGGAUGUUGGCUUAGAAGCAGCCAUCAUUUAAAGAAAGCGUAAUAGCUCACUGGUCGAGUCGGCCUGCGCGGAAGAUGUAACGGGGCUAAACCAUGCACCGAAGCUGCGGCAGCGACACUGUGUGUUGUUGGGUAGGGGAGCGUUCUGUAAGCCUGUGAAGGUGUGCUGUGAGGCAUGCUGGAGGUAUCAGAAGUGCGAAUGCUGACAUAAGUAACGAUAAAGCGGGUGAAAAGCCCGCUCGCCGGAAGACCAAGGGUUCCUGUCCAACGUUAAUCGGGGCAGGGUGAGUCGACCCCUAAGGCGAGGCCGAAAGGCGUAGUCGAUGGGAAACAGGUUAAUAUUCCUGUACUUGGUGUUACUGCGAAGGGGGGACGGAGAAGGCUAUGUUGGCCGGGCGACGGUUGUCCCGGUUUAAGCGUGUAGGCUGAUUUUCCAGGCAAAUCCGGAAAACUAAGGCUGAGGCGUGAUGACGAGGCACUACGGUGCUGAAGCAACAAAUGCCCUGCUUCCAGGAAAAGCCUCUAAGCAUCAGGUAACAUCAAAUCGUACCCCAAACCGACACAGGUGGUCAGGUAGAGAAUACCAAGGCGCUUGAGAGAACUCGGGUGAAGGAACUAGGCAAAAUGGUGCCGUAACUUCGGGAGAAGGCACGCUGAUAUGUAGGUGAAGUCCCUCGCGGAUGGAGCUGAAAUCAGUCGAAGAUACCAGCUGGCUGCAACUGUUUAUUAAAAACACAGCACUGUGCAAACACGAAAGUGGACGUAUACGGUGUGACGCCUGCCCGGUGCCGGAAGGUUAAUUGAUGGGGUUAGCGGUAACGCGAAGCUCUUGAUCGAAGCCCCGGUAAACGGCGGCCGUAACUAUAACGGUCCUAAGGUAGCGAAAUUCCUUGUCGGGUAAGUUCCGACCUGCACGAAUGGCGUAAUGAUGGCCAGGCUGUCUCCACCCGAGACUCAGUGAAAUUGAACUCGCUGUGAAGAUGCAGUGUACCCGCGGCAAGACGGAAAGACCCCGUGAACCUUUACUAUAGCUUGACACUGAACAUUGAGCCUUGAUGUGUAGGAUAGGUGGGAGGCUUUGAAGUGUGGACGCCAGUCUGCAUGGAGCCGGCCUUGAAAUACCACCCUUUAAUGUUUGAUGUUCUAACGUUGGCCCCUGACCGGGGUUGCGGACAGUGUCUGGUGGGUAGUUUGACUGGGGCGGUCUCCUCCUAAAGAGUAACGGAGGAGCACGAAGGUUGGCUAAUCCUGGUCGGACAUCAGGAGGUUAGUGCAAUGGCAUAAGCCAGCUUGACUGCGAGCGUGACGGCGCGAGCAGGUGCGAAAGCAGGUCAUAGUGAUCCGGUGGUUCUGAAUGGAAGGGCCAUCGCUCAACGGAUAAAAGGUACUCCGGGGAUAACAGGCUGAUACCGCCCAAGAGUUCAUAUCGACGGCGGUGUUUGGCACCUCGAUGUCGGCUCAUCACAUCCUGGGGCUGAAGUAGGUCCCAAGGGUAUGGCUGUUCGCCAUUUAAAGUGGUACGCGAGCUGGGUUUAGAACGUCGUGAGACAGUUCGGUCCCUAUCUGCCGUGGGCGCUGGAGAACUGAGGGGGGCUGCUCCUAGUACGAGAGGACCGGAGUGGACGCAUCACUGGUGUUCGGGUUGUCAUGCCAAUGGCACUGCCCGGUAGCUAAAUGCGGAAGAGAUAAGUGCUGAAAGCAUCUAAGCACGAAACUUGCCCCGAGAUGAGUUCUCCCUGACUCCUUGAGGGUCCUGAAGGAACGUUGAAGACGACGACGUUGAUAGGCCGGGUGUGUAAGCGCAGCGAUGCGUUGAGCUAACCGGUACUAAUGAACCGUGAGGCUUAACCUUACAACGCCGAAG